UUUAAAAAAUUAAAAAAUAAAUAAAACACUGAGUGAGUGAAUGCGUGCGUGCAUGACCGAAGGAAGAAUUCAGUAAGGCUAGAGUAGGGUGGAGCUGUCAUCCAAUGUCUACUGUGUUCAAGGCAGCACGCUAAGCUUGUGGAAUCGGCUUACAAUAGCCCUGUGGGGUGGUAUUAUUUCCACGUGACACGAGAGGAAGUGGGGACAGAAAAGUCAUUGUGAGGUCCACAGAAAUUCCAAGUGGUGGUACCAGAGUUUUCUACCUCAUCACCAGGCUUUUGGCUUACGCCUUUAAAUCUCGAGGGUCCAGCCGGAGGGUCCCUCGAGCCCCUACUCCAGCAUCUUCCCUGUGGCCCUUCUGCCUGGAAAAUUCCAGCGACGACAUGGAUGGCCAAGUCAGAGAGGGUUGGGAUCCACACCAAGAAAGGUAUGGAGGAAGCGGGUGGACAGCUCGUGUGGUGGGACACGUCAGAGAGAGGCCGUGUGGCUUCCCCAGGCUGCUCUGUCUGUAGGAAUCCCUCCUGGGAUAGAUCGCCAUAUACCAGCGUGAGAGGAUCUACCUGGCUGAACGGUACCGAGGAGAGGGAGCGUGUGGGGCAGGUGUGCAGAGGUGGAAGCUAGGCUGGGAAGAGAUGCGAGGGGCAGCAAUCCCAGGCCCGACUGGUUCCCCUCCAGAGCUGCCCGACCCCCGCUCUCCACCUCCGCAGAAACAGAACGGAGCUCUGAGUGCCAGGUCUUUGCCUCCUGGGACUAUCCCACCCACAACGAUGCAGGACUUGGACCAGCUUCUUUAAAGGUUCCUGGAAGCUUCCAUCAAGGCUGCUCUACCAAGGUGAACCUCAAGGGGGAGACCAUUCUCCAAGGGAGCGGAGAAGGUGUCAGUUGGGGGAGUGAAAAUGCCGGGCCCCCACCCCCACCUCCAUCCCUCCCCGCAAGGUUCUCAGGUCUGGGAGGGCAGAGAUGGUUGCAGCCUAAGGACCCAGUCUUCGGAUGUUCAGCAAGGGUCUGUUGGAUGAUUGACUGGACAUGGAACUUUUAGUUACACAUACACUGAAAAAUUUAUCUCUGCUUUUCAAAAUCUAGCUAAAAUGGCAAUAACAUUUUUUAUUUUUAUUUUUAU